rnacentral:rRNA from 1 species
CCUACGGGGGGCAGCAGUGGGGAAUAUUGGACAAUGGGGGCAACCCUGAUCCAGCCAUGCCGCGUGUGUGAAGAAGGCCCUCGGGUUGUAAAGCACUUUCAGUGAGGAAGAACGCCUGGUGGUUAAUACCCAUCAGGAAAGACAUCACUCACAGAAGAAGCACCGGCUAACUCCGUGCCAGCAGCCGCGGUAAUACGGAGGGUGCGAGCGUUAAUCGGAAUUACUGGGCGUAAAGCGCGCGUAGGUGGCUUGAUAAGCCGGUUGUGAAAGCCCCGGGCUCAACCUGGGAACGGCAUCCGGAACUGUCAAUCUAGAGUGCAGGAGAGGAAGGUAGAAUUCCCGGUGUAGCGGUGAAAUGCGUAGAGAGCGGGAGGAAUACCAGUGGCGAAGGCGGCCUUCUGGACUGACACUGACACUGAGGUGCGAAAGCGUGGGUAGCAAACAGGAUUAGAUACCCCUGUAGUC